rnacentral:rRNA from 1 species
UGAACGCUGGCGGCGUGCCUAAUACAUGCAAGUCGAGCGAACGGACGAGAAGCUUGCUUUUCUGAUGUUAGCGGCGGACGGGUGAGUAACACGUGGAUAACCUACCUAUAAGACUGGGAUAACUUCGGGAAACCGGAGCUAAUACCGGAUAAUAUUUUGAACCGCAUGGUUCAUAAGUGAAAGACGGUCUUGCUGUCACUUAUAGAUGGAUCCGCGCUGCAUUAGCUAGUUGGUAAGGUAACGGCUUACCAAGGCAACGAUGCAUAGCCGACCUGAGAGGGUGAUCGGCCACACUGGAACUGAGACACGGUCCAGACUCCUACGGGAGGCAGCAGUAGGGAAUCUUCCGCAAAGGGCGAAAGCCUGACGGAGCAACGCCGCGUGAGUGAUGAAGGUCUUCGGAUCGUAAAACUCUGUUAUUAGGGAAGAACAUAUGUGUAAGUAACUGUGCACAUCUUGACGGUACCUAAUCAGAAAGCCACGGCUAACUACGUG